UACGGAGGGGGCUAGCGUUGUUCGGAAUUACUGGGCGUAAAGCGCACGUAGGCGGCUUUGCAAGUUAGAGGUGAAAGCCCGGGGCUCAACUCCGGAACUGCCUUUGAUACUGCAAAUCUCGAGUCCGGAAGAGGUGAGUGGAAUUCCUAGUGUAGAGGUGAAAUUCGUAGAUAUUAGGAAGAACACCAGUGGCGAAGGCGGCUCACUGGUCCGGUACUGACGCUGAGGUGCGAAAGCGUGGGGAGCAAACAGG
rnacentral:rRNA from 1 species